rnacentral:rRNA from 1 species
UACGAAGGGGGCUAGCGUUGCUCGGAAUCACUGGGCGUAAAGGGUGCGUAGGCGGGUCUUUAAGUCAGGGGUGAAAUCCUGGAGCUCAACUCCAGAACUGCCUUCGAUACUGGCGAUCUCGAGUCCGGAAGAGGUGAGUGGAACUCCUAGUGUAGAGGUGGAAUUCGUAGAUAUUCGCAAGAACACCAGUGGCGAAGGCGGCUCACUGGCCCGGUACUGACGCUGAGGUGCGAAAGCCAGGGGAGCAAACGGG